CCAACUGGGACCAGGCGAGGAGGAGGAGGAGGAGGAGGGAGGGGAAGGAGCAUCAGGCAAAGGAACUGCAGCGGCAAGAAAGCCAGAGGCAAGGACCACAUUUCUGCACCAAAGGAGCAUUCAUUCAGUGGUGAUACAGACUCCCAGAAAGUGUUAAGUGUGGCCCCACACAUCUUUCAGACACAUCAAGAGAUUAAAUGUUAGACGCAGGAUGCUUGUGGUCAAGCUACAUCCCAGUGAGGCCAAGAUGACAAAAGUUAUUGAGGAAGAAGACACAAGCCAGGAAAUGCUGCAGCAAUUUGCUUUUGCCUAAGCCUAAGGCGAGGGGGGGGCAAUAAAUAGGAUUUUGCUCCCUCCUGUCUUAUCCCUGAAUUCAUUAAGUGCAAAUUUUGUUUGGAAUUUGCAGCAACUGAAUAUGCCAAGGACAAAGGGAGGAAGUGGAAGGAGGAGAGAAAAACCUGCACAUUUUAAAAGCAGCUGGAAAAGUGGAAGGCAGAUUAUUAAUAAGGCCUCCCUCUGCAAAAUUGGGACCGUUGAACCAGGAAGCACUCAGCAAGCAAAAAUGUUGAAAAUCAUGUCCUUCCCCCAAGCAGUGCACAUGCCAUUUACAGGUGACACAUAUGGUUACAAUAAGGUGGAUGUAAAUCCACUUUCCUGCCCAGCUCUCUCUUCGCCUUUUUGAAAAUGUGCCCUUGAACCCCCAAUAUAGCAUCCAAGCAAUUUCACACAUAUAACAGAUGUAGGCAUGUGUCAAUGGCGCUUCUGCCAUAGUGUGUGAAAUCUGAUAGCGGCUCUCCUGCCAAGGUCUUCUCAAAUACAGACCAAAUCCAUCAGUGGUGUCGGUUUGUCUCUGUUCCCCUUUGGGCUGUUUUCUUUCCCCAAUUUUCUGCCCAUGAAACCAGCUGUGUUUCCUUUCUGUUCCCCGUGUCUUGCUGCUGUUCUGUGUCUUGAGGUGGCACUUUGAUAGGAUUGUGCCUAAUUGCUUUAAUGUUGCCUUUGGGGAUCCUUUUGUCCCAGAAAUGGAAGAUACCGAAAGACCGACAAAGGAGAGGGGAAGGAGGACAACAAGUGAGUAGAGAUCUAUAUUUGCGGAAGGAUUCGGGGGGAGUCAAUGACACCACCUUCCCCUGAUGAGACCAUUUUCUUUCAUGUAUUUCUGUUCUUUCCUUCUGAAAACAUACAAGAGUUAUAGGAUUCAUUCUUCACUGUGGGCUUAUGAAACAGUACAUCAAUCCCAGGGGAGCAGUCAGAGUUCAUCUUGUGCCUUGCCUCCCAAACUAGAAAUCUUAACAGAGAAAGACACAAAGCUUGCAUGAAAAAGAAACCCACGUGAUAUGAGGGCUGAGAAAAAGUUUCCAUGAGGAUAUUGAGAGUUGGGGAAACAGAUCUUAUUGGACUUCAUUUCCCACCAGCCCUACCACCAUGGCCAUUGGCGAAAAAGGAUGGGAGUUGUUGCUCAGUAUCUGAAGAAAAUGGUCCCCCAUUCACACAAUACAAUUAUAGUAUUAUUAUUGCCCU